UUUCUAGAAGAGUUGUCUUAGAUACCGAAUCAACUGUCUUAGACUUGACUACAGAGAUCGAACUCUCUGGAUUGGAUCUAAACUUUCUCGAAAGCUUGCUAAAAGUGAUUCCCUCGAGAGAGCUUGCAAGUCCAAGAUCUGGUCUUCUCUUUCUCUGUCGGCGAAUACGCUGCUAGCUGGACUUCCUUUUCUCGCAUCAAAGCUUGACUUCCAG
rnacentral:misc_RNA from 1 species